UGGGGAAUCUUGCACAAUGGAGGAAACUCUGAUGCAGCGACGCCGCGUGGACGACGAAGCCCUUCGGGGUGUAAAGUCCUUUCGACCGGAACGAUAAUGACGGUACCGGUGGAAGAAGCUGCGGCUAACUACGUGCCAGCAGCCGCGGUAAUACGUAGGCAGCAAGCGUUGUUCGGAAUUAUUGGGCGUAAAGAGCUCGUAGGCGGUUUGCCAAGUUUGGUGUGAAAUCUCCCGGCUUAACUGGGAGGGUGCGCCGAAUACUAGCAGGCUAGAGUACGGGAGAGGAAAGCGGAAUUCCUGGUGUAGCGGUGAAAUGCGUAGAUAUCAGGAGGAACACCUGCGGUGUAGACGGCUUUCUGGACCGAAACUGACGCUGAGGAGCGAAAGCGUGGGUAGCAAACAGG
rnacentral:rRNA from 2 species